UACGUAGGGUGCGAGCGUUGUCCGGAAUUAUUGGACGUAAAGGGCUCGUAGGCGGUUUGUCGCGUCGGGAGUGAAAACCUCGGGCUUAACUCGGGGCUUGCUUUCGAUACGGGCAGACUAGAGGUAUGCAGGGGAGAACGGAAUUCCUGGUGUAGCGGUGAAAUGCGCAGAUAUCAGGAGGAACACCGGUGGCGAAGGCGGUUCUCUGGGCAUGAUCUGACGCUGAGGAGCGAAAGUGUGGGGAGCGAACAGG
rnacentral:rRNA from 1 species